CAGGGGAACAUUUCAUUAAUAGUUUCCGUUGUGGUUUUGCAUUGGAUAUUUUGUAUUCCAUGUUCUCAUUAGAUGUUGGGGUGGUCCUCAUUUGGGAACCAAACUAGGGGAGUUUCGAACAAGCAAACGAACAGGGAAAAACGAAUAUUACCGAACCAAGUGAUGGGGGCACUCCUUCACACUAUUACAUAAAUAAUCCUAGCAGAACAAAG